UUCCUUUAGUAAUAUCACCAUACUUGCUCAAUAUAGAUUUGAUAAUUGUGCGAUUCCGAGGUGAAUGGACAUAUCUAUCCACAUCAUCAUGAAUAGAAGUUAAAACUUGGUCCCUAACCAUACUGACUACUGCUUCACUUGGUGGGCAGGCAACCCUACACAAGAGAGAGCAAGCCUCUCCAAACUCCUGAUUUAGUAUAACUUCCCCGACACUGUCCACAGUAGUAAGGUCUGCCUUGGUCAUAAACAAAGGAGAUGCCAUUGGCAUAAAAGCAGCAGAAGAGCCUACUGUUGGAAUAGAACUU
rnacentral:misc_RNA from 1 species